UACGUAGGGUGCAAGCGUUGUCCGGAAUUAUUGGGCGUAAAGAGCUCGUAGGCGGUUUGUCGCGUCGGCUGUGAAAACUCGGGGCUCAACCCCGAGCCUGCAGUCGAUACGGGCAGACUAGAGUGCUGUAGGGGAGACUGGAAUUCCUGGUGUAGCGGUGAAAUGCGCAGAUAUCAGGAGGAACACCGGUGGCGAAGGCGGCCUUCUGGACGAUGACUGACGCUGAGACGCGAAAGCGUGGGGAGCAAACAGG
rnacentral:rRNA from 1 species